rnacentral:rRNA from 1 species
AUUUUUCAGAUUUUGUUGAAAAUGAGUUCUGCUCAAUGCUUGAGUAAAUGGCCGCGGUAUUUUGACUGUGCAAAGGUAGCAUAAUAGUUAGUCUUGUAAUUUAAGACUGGAAUGAAAGAAUUAACCGGGGAGACUUUUUUUGUGGUGUAUAUUUUGAACUUUACUUUUUAGUAAAAAGGCUAAAAUGGGGUUUUUAGACGAGAAGACCCUAUAAAUCUUUACAUGUGUGAAACUUAAGGGGUUUUUUGCGUGUUUUGCUGGGGCGGUAGAAAGAUAAACACUUUUAUGUGGUUUGAGAUUAAUUUUAAUAUCCAAAAAUUUUGAAGGUUAAAUAAGGUACUUUAGGGAUAACAGCGUUAUAUGUCUAGAAAGUUCUUAUUGAUAGACGUGUUUGCGACCUCGAUGUUGGAUUAAAUUUCCUUUGUUAUGAAAAAGUUACGGGAGGAGGUCUGUUCGACCUUUAAAUGUUUCCA